GUGCGCGCUCUAUUGCUGAGCAGUUGAGCGCGUGCCGGUGUGAGAUGAAGGGCGGCACACCGUCUCCCUUCUGCUCCUCCCACCGCGCGGGAAAGUAGCGCAUGCGCACCUUGUGUAGAAUGCCGUGGGUAUCCCUCUGCCCGCGAGCGGAGAUCCGGCCGCCUAACCGAGAGGCGCCCGAAGCCUGAUUUCCCCCCCGCGCCCCCCCCGCCCCGAAAUGCCGAGCCCUUCACACCCCCGCCCAGCCCCGCCUCCUGCGUGCGGCCGGGCCAAGCCGCUCAAGCUGCUGUUUAAACGUCGCUCAUGAGGGGAGGCGGGGUCAGGGGGCGCCCGGAGCAGCUGGGGGGUUGGCGCCGGCCUCUCAGACUCUCCGCAGGAGCUGCGGCCAUGGGGGCUGCCCAAAAACUAGGUACCAUUUGGGGGCCGUUUACCAGAAUCGCCCAUCCCUUGUGACACCGUGUGCCGCACAAACAGCAAAACCAACGAUGGGAGCCUCCCCGCCGUACUGGAUGGGCAGCGCCGUGCGCGGCCCCAAUCGGGGUGGAUCUGGGGAGGUGUUUUCUGCCGCAGCGCUCCCCCCCACCCCCCCGCCGCGCUCCGAAACACCUGGUGAUGUAUCACCACGGCUGACGGGAGGGUGUGCUUGUGCUGGCACCCGCGAGCAGGCUGAAACUGUAGUGCUGGGCUAGUGACUAAUGUUCCCUCUGCCUUGCCCCUUGUGCGUGCGAUGGGUGUAAAACAACGGUCGUGCGAUUUAUCAUCGUUUCUCAUGGCCACCCUGAGCUGGUGCGUUUCCAGUUUUAUUUGGAAGGGCCCCGUCCCCACGGUGGCCCUUGCUAUCAGUGGAGGAUGGGACUGAGAGCACAGCGCGACCUACGCUCAGAGCAACAGUGGAGAUGCUACGGCUGCUGACCAUCUUCUGGCAUUGGGCUCCCUGGAGAGAAACUCUGCAGCAAGCCUUGUGGGGCCUCAGAUUGACGAGCAGGGGGGUGAAUGGAUUUCUCAAGCUUUUGGAGCUGAUGAACCUUGGGGGGAUUAUGAAACAUUCCAUAAUCUGUCCAGACCACCAAUAAACAUAACCAGGACUACAUAAGCUGUGAUCUGCAAGAGCAUUUACACCAAUUACAAAGCCAUUGAGAAAUCAGAGCACAAGAAGCUGUUUAAGGUACAAUGGAAAUAUUUUAAAGU